AUUGAACGCUGGCGGCAUGCCUUACACAUGCAAGUCGAACGGGGGUCGCAAUACCCUAGUGGCGAACGGGUGAGUAAAGCAUCGGAACGUACCCAGUCGUGGGGGAUAACGUAGCGAAAGUUACGCUAAUACCGCAUACGUCCUGAGGGAGAAAGCGGGGGAUCGCAAGACCCCGCGCGAUUGGCGCGGGCGAUGUCGGAUUAUCGAGGUGGUAGGGUAAAAGCCGACCAAGGCGACGAUCCGUAGCUGGUCUGAGAGGACGGCCAGCCACACUGGGACUAAGGCACGGCCCAGACUCCUACGGGAGGCAGCAGUGGGGAAUUUUGGACAAUGGGGGAAACCCUGAUCCAGCCAUGCCGCGUGAGUGAAGAAGGCCUUCGGGUUGUAAAGCUCUUUCAGACGGAAAGAAAUUGCGCAGGUAAAUAGUCUGUGUAGAUGACGGUACCGUAAGAAGAAGCACCGGCUAACUACGUGCCAGCCGCCGCGGUAAAAC
rnacentral:rRNA from 1 species